rnacentral:lncRNA from 1 species
CUUGGACGAGAUACCGGUGUCGGGGUGGACCUGCUUCAGCACCUUGUACACGUACACGGAGUAGCUCUCCUUGCGGCUGCGCUUGCGCUUCUUGCCGUCCUUCUUCUGGGCCUUUGUCACUGCCUUCUUGGAGCCUUUCUUCGGGGCAGGAGCGGACUUUGAGGGCUCGGGCAUGACUGGGAGUAACUGCCGGAAAAUUGGAGGAAAAAAACAGGAAGACGGUAGCUCUGUCAACCUACCGCUUAUUCACUGCUUCUUAACGCAAGUGGGGUAGAGAAUGAAGUUGUGCGUUUAACCAGUGAUGAAGGUCUUGUGAUGUUGCCCAGGCUGAUCUCUGACUCCUGAGCUUGCACAAUCCUCCCACUCCUGAACACAUGCAAUCCCCCCACCUCAGCCUCCAGAGUAG